UUAAGCAGAGCCACUCUGUACAGUUGUUUUUGGAUCUCUGGAAAGUUCUUACACAGUGUGAGGAGAAUUAGUUUAACCUGAGCUCAACAAAACUUACAGGUUUACUAAUUGUUCUUCAGGACUCAGAUGUUAGUCUUUGGUCAGGCCAAACCAAAAGUUGUUUAGACGCUAGUUAUCACAUUCUUUCUUUUUCUUCCUUUUGGUGCCUGUUGAAAGAAAGCCCGUCUUUCCAGAAAAUGACCCCUUACCCCUCAGUCCUCCCUUUACAUGGCACAUUAGUUUUACUCUUGAAAGAUGAACUUUAAGCAGAAAUUCCCGGCUGUGACUUUUCUUUGGCUUCCCGUGUUUGACAGGAGGUACAUAGACUGAAAAUGCCAGCUCCCGGACAUGAAGGUGCUCCGCAGGAUUCCCUGUGGGAUCCUCUUUUCUGCUGAAAGACUGCAUGUUCUCUGAUCCAGAGGAUCAAAAAGGAAAAACAAUUUGGCCUCAGAUGAUAUUUACCCCAAGUGGCUGGCCGAGAACAAAGAAGAGGCAGUGGUUAUAAAGCUGGAAGAAACCCCCAAGAUCAUAGAAUACAGUAUAUCCUUUGUAACAGAUGAGGAUCCUGGGCCAGAGAAGUGAAGGCAGACAACAGGGAUAUUGGGAGCCUCCUGAUCUCUGGAAUGUACCAGUCUCCUAUAGCUACAUGCCUGAGACAUAUGUGGGAUCAUCUCAAAACGCAGAGAGGCUGUGAGAGGUUUGACACAGGCAGACAAGAAGGCAAUAUGAUCACGUGGACCAGCACUGGAUGAUGAGGUCACAAGCCAAGGAUUUCUGACAGCCACUGGGAGCUGGAAGAGGCAAGAAAUGAAUUCUCUCCUAGAGCUUCUCAAAUAAAUUCAUCCCUAUGGACACACUGAUUUGGCUCUACUGAUAUUGGUUCAGAUUUGUGUUCUUCAUACUGAAACAUACUUCAUACCGAAA